UACGUAGGGGGCAAGCGUUGUCCGGAAUUAUUGGGCGUAAAGAGCGCGUAGGCGGUCCGAUAAGUCGGCUGUGAAAGUCAAGGGCUCAACCCUUGAAAGCCGGCCGAUACUGCCGGGCUAGAGUCCGGAAGAGGCGAGUGGAACUCCUGGUGUAGCGGUGGAAUGCGCAGAUAUCAGGAAGAACACCAACGGCGAAGGCAGCUCGCUGGGACGGAACUGAGGCUAAGGCGCGAAAGCGUGGGGAGCGAACAGG
rnacentral:rRNA from 1 species